AAUAUUUUCAAGUCCUUAAUUUUCCUUCUCUUCUGUUCCUGUUUUUCAGCCCUUGGAUGAGGCCAACCUGACUGAACUGAAAAGUGCUCUGAAUGGAUUCCUAGCUAAAGGAGAGGUCUUGAAGCUGGAGACCAAGACUGACCCCUCGAUCCUCGGCGGGAUGAUUGUCAACAUUGGGGAGAAGUACGUGGACAUGUCAACAAGGUCCAAGAUCCAGAAACUCACCAAGAUCAUGAGAGAGUCUGUCUAGAGAGCUGUCCUGGUCAUUCCCAAGGAAACCUGGCUGAUGGAAACAAUAAAAUUCCUCCUUCUCGAGUA